rnacentral:lncRNA from 1 species
UUUCAAUAGGAGUGUAGAUCUUAUGCCCACGUUACUUGGGUUUAUAAAAAUUUAAGUAAUAUUUAGUAAAAAAGAUUGAUAUUAUAAGUAGAGAAUGAUGGCUCAUGGAUGAAGAAAGUGUUGUUAUGUAUUUUUGGGUUGGCAUAUUUUGUGACUUAUCGUGAUGAGUCGUUUAGGUUGAGUCGGAGUCUUAAAGGAUUAAAAAAGAGAGGAUGAAGCUUGAAGACUUGAAGACUCAAUAUUUGAAUUCACGAUGCUUGGUAAGUCUUUAUAAAGUUAAUGGUGAUUUAUGAACAUUUACAAGUGUUUGGAAGACAUUAGAAUAGAUAAAAAUUGAUUUAAAAUAUAAAAAUUAAGUUUUU